CAUAAAAUUUACUAGUCGAACUGGUUUUUUUAACAGCUUUACUGUGGUGUGAUUUACAUAUAAAAAAAUCACAGUAUUUAGUAUCCUGUUCAGUGAGUUUUGGCCAAAUCUAUAGUCCUUUGAUCCCACCUCAGCCCCAGGCAAUCACUGAUCUUUCUGCCAUGGUUUUACCUUUUCUAGAAAUUUAUAUAAAUGGAAAUACACAGUAUGCAGCCUUUGGGGUAUGGCUUCUUUUAAUUAGCGUGCUGUUUUUCAGUAAUUUCUCUUUACUGCCAAGUACUCUCGUAAGGUAUUGCAUUUUGUUUAUCCAUUCAGGUUUGAAGGACGUUUGGGCUGUUUUCAGUUUGGGUUAUUAUGAAUAAUGUUGGCUAUUAGUGAAUUACUUUUGUAUUUUUCGGGGUUUUUUUCCCCAAACUGAAUUACAUACAACUUGAACUUGAGUAUACUGUCUUGAGUGUUCAGUAUAAAUAGGCUAAUUGGAAAUCCACACGUUCAUCCACGUACUAAUUGUAGUUAACCAUAAUGUGGACUAGUAUGCACCCAUAGGUGUUGUUUUGAUGAGUUGCUGAUAACCUGGUGGUAAAAUACAAUAUGAUGUGAGCAAGAUAAAAAACUAAAAGCUAUCCCCAAUGUAUUCAGUGCUUCAAAUGGGAAAUAGUGUUGCCUGCGUGUCCCGAGACCUCCAUACCACCCCAGCCACUGCCCCAUCAUUUUGGUGGUUUUGGCAGCAAAACUGCUCACACUUCAUUCGAGCUCACUGUUCCUCAUCUUUCCUGCGCCAUUGUCAAGAGUUUUUAUCAAAGUUAGACACACACAUACUUGAGCAAGCCCCAGAUUUCUACCCCUACCUCUAUUUUCUCUUCCUCAGAGGAACUAAUUUCACUUCCUCCAGGUCAUUUUAAAAAACUGUUUAUCUCCAGAUUUUCAAAUACCAUGUUUACAUAUCAGCUUUUUUUUCUUCAUCAUUGACUUUCUACCAUAAAAGAUGAAAAUUUAGCUUUUUUUCAUCUCUCCCCCAACUUCUACCCCGUGUACUCAGCCCUUCUGACAACCAGGUUGCUCAUGUGUCCCUGAGCUCCCUGUACGCUGUGGGUUUUGUGAGACCAGUGUUCCCGUUACCUGUGCACGGGGGCAGCGCUCGGUGUGUUGGCAGCCGGCCCGGGUGAUGACCGUGAUUCUGUGAUUAUUCUGUCUGCCCUUUACCACUUUGUUUUCACUUGAAAAAAUUCUUACUCACGUUUGUGCUUUCUUAUUAUCAGUACAAUUGAGUAAAAAGCUGUAUGUCAUCGUAUCUCCCCACGGUGUAUCUGGGUGCAUCACACGUUUGAGCAGCCUCUCCUGGAGCCUGCUUCCUCAGAAGCGCUGCUACCCUCUCUGCCUGGUUCUCCUUUCACCUGUGCUCUUCCGCUGUGUGAAUCCCUUGGUUGUUGGGUUCUCUUCCCUGAGUAUUUCUUAAGGUUCUUUUGUUUUUCUUUUUUAAUUUGAAAUUUCAUGUAUUGCGAAAUGAGCACCACAGUAGGUCUGGUUAACACCCAUCACCACAGUUACAAAUUUGUUGUUUUGUGUGUGAAACUUUUAAGAUUUAUUCUUAGCAACUUUCCAUCGUGUAGCACGGUGUUAUUGGCUAGAUUGACACGCUGUUACCGUAUAUCCCCGGGACUUCUUUUCUAACUGAAAGUUUGUGCUGUUUGACCCCCUUCACUCAAGUUGCACACCCUGCCACCCCUGAGUACUCCUCAUUUUGGUGCCAUACAUAGUCGAUGAGCUAGCUUAGCUAAUAUUUUUUAAGAACUUCUAGUUCCAAAGGUGUCCUCUCUCCUGGCCGACUAUACAGUUCUGUUCUGUAUAUUCUCAAUGACAUCCAUUGAGAAUUUUGAAGACAUUGCUAUAUCCAGGCUUUCAGUGUUGCUGUUGAGAGGUCCAACGCCAUUUUUAUACCUGAUUCUUUGAGCAUCCUAGCUGGCAGUUGUAUUCUCUUCAUCCAGUGUGUUCUGAAAUUUCAUAAUGCUAUGUGUUAGCGUGGGUCUAUUUUUAUUCAUCUUACUGGGCCCUUUCAAACUAGACACUCAUUUUCUACAAUUUUCAGAAAUUUUCUUGAAUUACUUUGGUCUCGCUUUUCUUUCCCCCUUCCUAUCUGGAAUUCCUUCCUGUAACUAUAUUCUUAAUACCAUAUCCUUGAUUUAUGGGUGCAUGAAAAUAGCUUUUCUGACCUUACUGAUGUGAUUUUGUUUUUGCUGUUUCAUUCUUUUUCCCCCGGUCUCCAUUUCUCUUUCUUCACCUUGCUGGUUGUAGCCUCUGUUGUUUGUAGUAGAUGCUUCCGUCGGAUUCUGGAGAUCCUCUGUGUGUGUGCCAUAUGUACAAGAGGGAGGCAAUAAAGAGCAGACCAGAAGCCCUGAGCUCAUGGGGUCUGGAGCGUGGGGGACGCCAGCUGGCCAUAGGCUUCGCUUAGGGAAAGUUCACAUCCUUGGCUCUUUCCAAAACAUCAAGAUGGCAAGAACUGCCAUUUGCAACCUCAUUCUGGGAAAUCCUCCAUCAAAGGUUUA